UCUCGAAAGUUUAAAUUUAUGUCAAUUAGAAAGAAUUCAUUUCGAGGGAUUGAAUGGAAACCUUGAUAAUGAAAUAUGAAUGAAUGGUCCGAACUGGUACUAAAUAAUGAUUCAAAGUCACGUAACCAUCAGACGUGAAAAUGUUCAGCUUGGGGAAAUUAUAAGUAUGAGGAAAUGACACGACAAACGUAGCUAAUAUUCUAUUUCUUAUAAAUAUUUAAAUGAUAUUUUUAUCGAUAAAAACUAAUAAGCUUGGCUAUAAAAUUAUCGAACUUCAUUUAUCACCGUUCAAAAAUUUUGAAAUAAUUAAAUAAAGUCCCAUAAAACCAAAUUACAAUUUUCAUUUAUUGCAAACACUUGUAAUAAAUACUUGUUAUUAAAGGCUUAUAUGAUAAUAUUACACUCAUUGUCAGGUGGCUUCGAUUAAUACGUCACUAAUGCCUGAUCCGGAAGUGGAGGCGUCUUAUAAACGUCAAGGUUAUUUCUAUCUUCUAUGUUUCUAAAAUUCAACUAUAUAUUUUUUAACAGAGAUAUCUAUAGAAUAUACAUAAGCGCUUAUGUCCAACAACAAUUACUUUUAAAGAUAUUCCUAUCUGUCUAAUUUAUUUCUUCAUGCAUCUUUUUCUAAUUAUCAUAAGAGAUUCCGCCAUUCAAUAUCAUAAAUCACGAAAUUUCAUUCAUAUUUUAUUAUUGUUCAAUUUUGAAUACGAUUUUUCAACUCGAUAUCGUUGGUCGAAACAAUCAAGGUAUUUCGAAAGACAGUUUCGUUCCUUUGAAAAUUGAUUUGUAGAAUAGUCGUAAGACACGUAUGCCGAAUUCAGCAAGCGUGUCAUUGGCGAACAACCUACGCCAACUACUCGCACGAAAUACUUAACUAGCAGGAACCUUGGACGGCAAUCAGCAGCUGAGUGACUUUAAUAAUCGUAUAGACCAUCUGUUCAACUGUAAUACACGUCAGAGAAUGUUCCGGGACUCUUGUGAAAUCGUAUCUGCAAAAUCUGGAAAUCCGCUGUGCUGUAUUUGCAUUAUUCUGAAAUUAAUUCUUUUUGCGCUCCAUCGCGUUCUUCGGGGAUUGGAAACAUGCAAAUUCGUUUCUUCUAAAAAUGAAAGAUUUUUCUCAACUGCGUCAAAAUUAUAUUGUUGCAACAAAUGAACGGUAUUUAUUUAUAGCAAGAAAUAUGUGGAAGACGUUUUGGCCUAUUCUAGAGGCCAAAAGAAACACAAAAUAUAUAGGAAAAUAUGAAGUUGAAGUUUAUUUAUUGACAGAUUAACAAUUCUAUUCUACGAUUUUAUCCGAAGAGUGUGCGUGUCUUACAUAAUAUUGGAAUUGUAAUAAUUCCAAAAUAUUCAUCUCUCUUGAAAGAAAAAAAUGUUUAGAAAAAGAUGUAACCUCGAAAUGAAGUUCAACAUACGAGGUACAUUGACCAGAAAUGUUUGUAAUCUGUUCAUACAUUGAUCAUGGAUAUAAGCAGAAUCCGUACUGGAACGUCUUAUAAAAAAUUCCUGAACAGUACGCAAGCAGAGGCAAACAAUUACGGAAUUUUUCACUCAACAUUCAUAGAUACUCGUUUGAUAUGCAGGAAGUAAAUUUUAAAACUUAAAGAACGUUUAAACAAAAUUUCUUACCCGCAUCAAUUGUAUAUUUUACUUAAUCCGACUAUAAAUAAAAUCUUUAGAGAAAACGAGACAAAAUCUUUAAUUCGAAAAAUGUUGUGGACGGAGUCAAAUGGAACUCUGCCUUUCCAAAAUCUACUUUAUUCUUAUUCUAAAAAAAAAAAAUCAUUAAAACUUGGAAAUUUAUAAUAAAAUUCUAUAAUUAAAUACGUAUUGUAUUCUAUAUUUAUAGUGGUUACAUAUACGACGAAAAUACUCCAACACUUUUUAAUCAAUGAAUUACACGAAAAGUCUUUGAAUUUUAAUAGAAUAACAUCUGAUAGAAUAACACAAAUAAAAUCACUAGAUUAAAAAAAGGAGAAGAAGAUUGAAUACAAAUUUUCCUUGCAUUACGUAGAAGUAGCUCCACGUGCAAUUGAAAACACAUGACAAAGAAUGAUGGACGAAGCAUAGGAAAAAGGAGGUCAAUUAAAAUAUAUUGCUUCCCAACGACAUGAUCCACCAUCUUAUGUAUUUAACGAUACUUUGAGCUGACGAUAAUCGGUGCACACGUGACGAUUUGCAUAAUGGCCACGAGAGUAUCAGCGAAUUAAACGCAAUCAAUGUAAGAAAUGGGAGCGAACGGAUGGAGGAAUAGAUUUUCAAGGAUUGACACAUCGGUGAUCGAAGAAAUGCUCUUUUCGAAAAGCAAUGAGUUCGUUAUUUAAGUGGCUUGCACAAACCUUUGUACGCGCCGACGGAUUUAUAUUCGUGUUUCACAAGACGAGAAGGAGAACGAUUGUGACCACAAAUAAACUUCACAUAUAAUCGUAUAAUAUAAUGUAUUCGUAUGGGCGUAAAGAUCCUUUUCAUUUGUUUUUGUAUUUUAUGCUCUCGCUUGUCUCUUUAGAUAUACUAUACUUGUCUCUUGAGGUGUUUAGUAUAUUAGGAGACGCCUUUGGGGAAUCGAAUUUCUAAAGGCUUCGAAACAAGAGGCAAAAGUUGGUAUGCAGAAAUAUUGGUUGAGACUUAAUAAAUAAGUUUAGUUACGAGGAAUUUAAAAUUGAGUUAUAUGCGAAAUCAUCAAAUUGUAAGAAUUAAUUUUAAGAUCGUGAUAUAAAUAAAUUUAUACUACUUAA